rnacentral:rRNA from 1 species
CAAUUAUACCGCGAAACUGCGAAUGGCUCAUUAUAUAAGUUAUCGUUUAUUUGAUAGUACCUUACUACUUGGAUAACCGUGGUAAUUCUAGAGCUAAUACAUGCUAAAAAUCCCGACUUCGGAAGGGAUGUAUUUAUUAGAUUAAAAACCAAUGCCCUCCGGGGCUCUCUGGUGAUUCAUGAUAACUUCUCGAAUCGCAUGGCCUUGCGCCGGCGAUGGUUCAUUCAAAUUUCUUCCCUAUCAACUUUCGAUGUUUGGGUAUUGGCCAAACAUGGUUGCAACGGGUAACGGAGGGUUAGGGCUCGACCCCGGAGAAGGAGCCUGAGAAACGGCUACUACAUCCAAGGAAGGCAGCAGGCGCGCAAAUUACCCAAUCCCGACACGGGGAGGUAGUGACAAUAAAUACUGAUACAGGGCUCAUUUGGGUCUUGUAAUUGGAAUGAGUACAAUUUAAAUCCCUUAACGAGGAACAAUUGGAGGGCAAGUCUGGUGCCAGCAGCCGCGGUAAUUCCAGCUCCAAUAGCGUAUAUUAAAGUUGUUGUGGUUAAAAAGCUCGUAGUUGAACCUUGGGCCUGGCUGGCCGGUCCGCCUCACCGCGUGUACUGGUCCGGCCGGGCCUUUCCCUCUGUGGAACCCCAUGCCCUUCACUGGGUGUGGCGGGGAAACAGGACUUUUACUUUGAAAAAAUUAGAGUGCUCCAGGCAGGCCUAUGCUCGAAUACAUUAGCAUGGAAUAAUAAAAUAGGACGUGUGGUUCUAUUUUGUUGGUUUCUAGGACCGCCGUAAUGAUUAAUAGGGACAGUCGGGGGCAUCAGUAUUCAAUUGUCAGAGGUGAAAUUCUUGGAUUUAUUGAAGACUAACUACUGCGAAAGCAUUUGCCAAGGAUGUUUUCAUUAAUCAGGAACGAAAGUUAGGGGAUCGAAGACGAUCAGAUACCGUCGUAGUCUUAACCAUAAACUAUGCCGACUAGGGAUCGGACGAUGUUAUAAUUUGACUCGUUCGGCACCUUACGAGAAAUCAAAGUGCUUGG